AACUUUCGGCAAAAGAUACCUUGACUCUCGCAUCGAUGAAGAACGUAGCAAAAUGCAAUACUUGGGGUGAAUUACAGAAUCCUACAAACCAACGAGUCUUUGAAUGUAAGUUACACUUAGAGCCUUCUGGUCGAGGACAUGUAUGCUUGGCGUCA
rnacentral:rRNA from 1 species